rnacentral:rRNA from 1 species
GACGAACGCUGGCGGCGUGCUUAACACAUGCAAGUCGAGCGGAAAGGCCUCUUCGGGGGUACUCGAGCGGCGAACGGGUGAGUAACACGUGAGCAACCUGCCCUUCACUUUGGGAUAACCAUCGGAAACGGUGGCUAAUACCGGAUACGACACACCAGGGCAUCUUGUGUGUGUGGAAAGUUUUUCGGUGGGGGAUGGGCUCGCGGCCUAUCAGCUUGUUGGUGGGGUGAUGGCCUACCAAGGCGAUGACGGGUAGCCGGCCUGAGAGGGCGACCGGCCACACUGGGACUGAGACACGGCCCAGACUCCUACGGGAGGCAGCAGUGGGGAAUAUUGCGCAAUGGGCGAAAGCCUGACGCAGCGACGCCGCGUGAGGGAUGACGGCCUUCGGGUUGUAAACCUCUUUCAGCAGGGACGAAGCGAUAGUGACGGUACCUGCAGAAGAAGCACCGGCCAACUACGUGCCAGCAGCCGCUGUAAAAC